UGCAUUUGUACUGGCAGAGGCCGUCCUCGCCGCCCAGGAGGUCGAGCGCCGCGUUGAGGUAAACGUCGAUCUUGUGCACGCCGUUCCGGAUAGUUUUCAGCGUCAUCCUCCAGUCUGGGGUCUGCGGCGCCUCCUGGCUCCGGGCCGCCGGCGGCCGCGGGCCCACCCAGGCACCCGCCAUCAGCAGCGGCAGCAGCAGCAGGGCGCGGGCCAUGCCCGAGGAGCCGCGCCCCGCGCCGCCGGGCGCUCGCUAAGCCCCCGCCGCGCGGCCGCAGCGCUCCGCACGCACGGCCCGGCCCGCCGCCAUCGGCCCCGCGGGCGCCGCCCCUACGGCUGGGCGGGACUGCGAGCAGGGCGCGGCCUGUUGGAGAAGGCGGCCGGCGUCCGCUCCUGGCCCGGCGCUGCGGUGUGGGGUGCUGGGAGCGGAGCUGCUCCGGGAUCUUUCCACGUGCGAGCGAUUCGCUUUCAGGUGAGGCAGGGUGGAACCACACGGGAAUCGUUCUAAUUUCUGCAACGAAAGCCUUGUUUUAAGACGUGUGGAAUUCCUCAAAAGACGGACAGAGGGAUUUUAGGACACAGGUAACUGCAGGGGACGGGAAAUAUAAAGAACAUGGAAAGGCUUCCGGAUCUGCAGGCGGGCGCGAAAGUACCCGGUAAAUGCUGCUGCGUGUUUGGGCUUUUGUUUGUUUGUUUUUCCUCUCCAGUCUUUGCCGUUCAUUAUUGUUAACUGGAGAAACAGUAGGAAAAGCUGUUAGCAGAUGUUGUCUGCUAACAGACAGAAGAGGGAGCUCUUGCCGCGCCUACCCUGGGAAGUGCCCGUCCCUGCGGCUGCUGUACGGAAGCCCUCCUUCGGCAGAGCAGUUCCAGGGAAGGGGCGUGGAACGAAAGCGGUCUCUACUCUUACUUUGCUUGGAGGUGACUGACAGGGCCUUACUUGCCAAAUUCAUGCUGAUGCGGCUCCAUGCUCAGCGGAGGAUGAAGUCAGUGAAAAUGUAAAAAUGUUGCCUGAAGCAAAUAAUGGUGUCUUAUUAAAAACCAAACUCCAGGCAAGCCCUCAGACUCAGAGAACCCACCCUUUUUCCCUCAACAUCCUUGCGUGAGCGUAUGCUAUUGAGUUGGUGGGACAGCUGAUUGAGAGGGAUGAAGUAAAAAUAGGUGUUCAAACACUUGUAAAUUGGAAUCCAGCAAACUGUUACAGAGCUGUUGCACAGUUUGACAGGACUGAAAUGGUCCUGAAGUCAUUUGUACCAAUCCAAAAGCCAACUACUGGCUUUUAAAAAAGAGCCAGAACUUUCCUAGUGGACUCAGGGCCUGCCCUACCUACCACAUCAUUCUGCUUUUGGGUAACUUUCUGAAUCACUGCAUGGCCAAACUGCCUGUGACUGCACAGCACAGGAUCAGGCCCCUGUAAGGGUGUGUUUUUUUUCUUUGUGUCACUGUUUUGUGCUUGUGUCUGUUGGUGCAGGAAGCUUCUGCUCGAGUAGUUGAGUGAUUUAAACAAAUCUCACGAUCGUGUUCAGUCCAUCAGUUAACACACGGUCUGAAGUUCUGUUUCUCAGUAAGCCUAAAGGAUCAUCAGCCCAGCAAAGCGGCAUCCUGAGGGUUUCUAAUGACCUACCCCCCAGUAUGAUGGAACUGCUUUUACAUUCUCUGGUUGCUGUCCUUUCUGUAACGUUCACAUAUUGCCAGUGCAGUUGUUUUCCAACCACUGCUUUCAGUAUGGUUGUCCAUUUAAAAUAAACAGUUACUACUGAAAUGUGGUGUGCAAUGUGGGGAGAGGGAAAAGAAAUAGCAACAACAAAAGGACAGAUGCUUGAAUUUCCCUGCAGUAAACAUGGUUUUAUUAGAUAAUUUUGCUGUGGACUUACAUGACUGCAAAACUCUUUUGUACAGACUUCUGUAAAAUUGUAGUAUUUGUAGAGAGCUGAACGUUUUCAAACUACAUUAUUUCAUGAUUUAUACUAAUAGUUGCUAAGGCACAUGGCUGCUAUAGUAAAAAUGGACUAGUGUUCAUUUCUGCAUGGAUGGUAACAAGUGUUUAGUUUGCUGAGCUUCAGAUAUUAUACCGUGAAAUGAGACUCCUUGACACAUGGUGGCUAAUCCAGUCGUAAUAGCUGGCUACUUGUGUGUAGACGCCGGGGUGACCGGCCUCCCCACAGUUUUCACCCCAACUCACAACACCCCAGACAUAAGCCACAUUUUCUGCAUCAAAGCAAACCAGGGGACCUCCUGAAUCACCUUUGCAGCUGUCAAUGGAGCCAUCGUAAGUACCUGCGGCAAAAGAGGGUGGGGGAACAACAACAACUCAAAAGUAAGUUUAUAUGCAAGCUAGCACACAAAGUAGAGCUCAGGAGGCUUUUUAGAUCCAUGUCACUUCCUGACAGGUGUCUGCCUAGCAGUCACUACUACUGGAAGUUCCCAGUCUCUUUGGUCUACUAUUUCUUAAUUAUUUUGAAGUGCAGCCCCCCCUCUUUACAAUUUUGGCUGGCCCAAAAGCUCAUUUGCUUUCACGUCAGGAAUGUGAUUCUUCUUGUGACAGAGAAGAAUUCAGACAUAUUGUAUAUUAUAUCAUUAGAAGUAGCUUAUAAAAAGGGGACAGAAGGUAGAAGAAAAGGGUAAGAAGAUUAGUGGACCGAUCCCUCUGGAAAUUAAGCUAUUAUAAUAUGCAUGUUCCUCUACAUCUGCUAUUGAUGUUCUCUCUACCUAGUAGUACAUUGGCCAAUUUGAUCUGAGCUACGCAGAAGUAGAAACCUCAAAAUUAAUUUCUCUGCAGGCUUUAUGGCAAAAGGUGGGCAGAUCCAAGGAUAGUACAUGAAUGAUGGGAUACAAGAGAGUGUAACUGUCUUUAACUGAGCCCUUGCAGAUAUGGCACUUGAAGUGUGGACCUUCUGGAGCACCAGGUGACAGCUCUGAGACAUAAACAUAUGGGCUGUGGUGCUCUCUACAAGUUUCUGGGGUUUUGAAGCUACUUGUUUCCAACUUAGCAAAUGUAGUGGUUGUAAUAAAUAAAUAAAGAUGAAAGAAUAUGAUAUAGGCAAAAACUUGCUAGAGAGUUGGAAUACAAUUUAUCCUUUGUCCCACAGACUCAGUAGAAGUGUGUAAAGACAUCUUUAUGUCCUUCUUUAUACUCGGUUGAUCCACCUAGUUUGAAGGAACCCAUACUAAGCAAGGCUCCCCACGUUUUUAAACAUGUAACCUCUUUCUUGAGUCUCUACAUCACUGAGAAAGAGUUCUGUGAAUGUUUCAGGAUUGGAAAGACCAAUUCUAUAAAACUAGAUUUUGUUCCCCAUACUCAGUUGAAUUAACGUUACCUUCUAUCAGUAGUUCCAGCAGAUACCAGUCCUUAAUUCCAAAAUUUGUAUCUGCAUUCACGUUGUACUGAAUUUAUUCACAAAUGGUUAAGUUUUUAUAUCCAGUUUUAAUUUGUCUUGUUAUGUACUUUGUUUAAAUACUGCCUUCACUUCAGAGUUAAAGAACAGUUGAAACUAUCUGUCCUGUAAGUUGAAAACUCAUUGCUCUUUAAGACAUGUGUUUGGCAAUACCUUUUGUUACUUGAAAAGCAAAAAUGUGUACUCAAAAUGCUUAUUUUAGUAUUAGGAAUGACAACCAGUUUCCUGGCCAGACUAAUCUUUGUUUGAAAAGUUUAUAGUAUUUUUCCUGGGGUGUGGUUUAGUGGUAGAAAAUAUCUCAGCAGAUGAAUAGUCACAUGCUAGUCAAUAGGACUGUGAAUGUGCUCCAAAAAAGGCAUUUGCUUUAAUAUGUUCCUGAAGCAGAAUGAAAUAGAGGUAGGAGGAAGUUCAGUGGGCUGUAAUCUGCUUGUGUGUUUAGAAAACAUGACUCCAACUGUGUGCUGAAAUUUGCUUACAGUCACUGAAACUUGGCAUUCUGUCACCAUAACUGUUUAUAAUUAGAUAGAUAACAACAGAUGACUGUAGACUCCAGUGGCUAGUGCUUUGCUAAUGACAAUGCCGUUGCAUUUGGUUUCUUGCAUUUUCCAAGUCUAAAAGAUUCCCAGCCUGUAUGUCAGUCCUUAGCAACGGUGGGCAUGAUGGUAAAGUUAUAGUAAGAAAAUUCAUACUUGCCUGCACAUGCCAUUUUUUGAAAGAAUCGUCCUGGAUACAUUUCAGAACAAUUCUGAAAUAAAUUAACAUUUCCCCAUUUGAGCACAUAUUGUUUGGUAUAACCUAGAAAAGAAAAUGAUAAACUUUUCUAAAUUUAAACUGAUAAAUGUGUAUGAAACACUUUUAAUAUCAUAAUAUGAAAGUUAUAGAUUUGCUAAUCUACUGAAUUUAAUCUUAGAUAUUAUAAACCAGGUACCUUAAACUGCUGCUAACACUUGCCCCACAUCCACUGCCCAUAUGUUUCAAAAUCAAAGCAGAGUGGUUAAAUUGCAGUAUUAAAUGCAGUAGUUUCAUUUUUUUGUAAUUUUUACUCCUUCCCUUUGUUACUUUCUUCAAUUUUUUCCAUGUUUUCCAUAUCAGGGUUUCCAGACACUGGGAGACCAGUAUAUUGUUUUCUGUGAAAUGGAGAAACGCCUCUGAUCAUCCUUGUUACUUCUUUCUCAGAAAGAUGAGAGGACUGGAACUUGCAGAUACAGUCCCCAUCCAGAAACCUUGCAUUUAUCGCCAGCCUUGAACAUAUGCUCUGACCAGGGGACGCAGGCAGGUGUGCUGUAUUUCAAGGAGCACUCUCCUUUUCCAUGACCUUUCAGCUCCAGCAGAGCGAUGUCAUUUUCAUAAGUUGCAGCAUCAUACUUCUCAUGGAUUAUCAGUUGCUUUAGUCUGUAAGUGUCUGUCUCUCUGUCAUACUGUAUUGUAUCCAACAGCCCAAUCCAGACACGGUAUUGAUGAACUCGAGUUGCUCUGGAAAAGGAGCCAAUGAAAUAUGUUUUGGUACCUCACACAAGCACUGUAUGUUUCAAUUACUCAUAAAUUUUUGCAUUUUAUCAAAGUUUAUGUGGAAUAAAUAUUCAUAUUAUACACGUAUAGUUUCUUUCUGGACUUGUAUGUCGCAGUUGUUCUGAAGGAGGUAGAAGGCUGGUGACACUUAUUGCUGAGUCCUGAAGCUAAUACAGAAAGACAGUACUAAAGGCCAGUGUGUUUAGUGCCCUCACAAAGAGAAAGCAAAGCUUAUGUCUCUGAUAUCAGAUGAAAGAAGAAUGGGCAAAUACACAUGGAACACUGGGCUCGGCAGGUCUUUCCUGCCCACUCCUGCUGGCUCUGGGGAAUAGGUGGCACCAGGGACAUUCUUGGGGGACAGGCACUAGACCUCCCCAGUGCUGAGAGGAGGUAAUUCGUAAUUACUUUUUUGCUCACUGACAAAAUGCUUUGUCUUUGAAUCCCUCCCACUGUUAAUGUGAGCAAAUCAGUGAUUUUAGUUGUGUUAUUGAAUGGGCAAGUAAGAAUUAGCAACCAAGUAGCCGAGAAGAGCAAUAAUGCACAGAUUCAUCUUUUCUACUUUGCAAAGAAAUCAUUUCUCAGGUUGUUGCUUUUACCUGACACAGUGUGCAGCAGUCAGAACCCAACAGCCACCAAUAUAAACCCCUCCACAGUACACUGUUGCACCUUCAGUGCCAGUGUCUUUAAUUGCCACUUGCCAAGGGAAUUCACCCUAUUAAAAUGACAGAAACCCAAAUAAUAUGAAAUCAUCAUUGUGCUAUUUUUUGUGCAUAAAGGGAAACACAAUAUCACUUCAUCUCCUUGACUUAAUCUGCUAUUAAGAAGUUGUCUGUAAUCUGGGCUCUGACAUAAAAGCUCUGUAUUCUAAACUACAGUAACGUUGUUGUCUUCUGACAUUAUGCAGUGUCUCCCUCCCCGCAGCUUUCUGUCAGGAAACUCCUAAAAAAACCAGAUGGAGGAUCUGACCUGGUAUGAUCAAACGUUACAUUUAUGACUAUAAUUAUCAUACAUAGCUAUAGUAUUAAGUAUUUUGCUGGAUUAUUUUCAACACAUACUUGCACUGUAAUGCUGUAUUUUGUAGCUUGGUGUUUUACCUUAUGAACUGUGCUUCUAUUUAUAUUCAUUCAGUGCAUUGUCACUACUAAUGUAAAACAUGAAAUUAAUGUAACUGAUUUUGUUAUUUCCGUACAUUUUAACAGAAGGACAAUAAUAACCAUUUAAAUUGUUACUGAAUGAACACAUGAGCCUAUAUUUGUAAGGUCUGGUUGUGUCUGUGUGUGGGGGGUUAUUAUUAUUUUUUACCUUUCUUGCAGUCUGUCCACCUAUGAUUCUUUUCCGUCGAGUUAAUGUGUGAUUUACAACACCGCAGUUUAUUUGGGGAAGGAAUGUCUUUGCCAGUUUUCUUUCUUUAACAAAAAGGAAGAAUGUGUCUCAGAAUUCAAGUAUUCAUUCUCUCUAUUUGGAGACAGACUUAUCUUUACCUUGAAAUCAUGAGUGCUGUGAGUAUGCAAGUGGCUGAAGUAGCAGGAAAGCAAAAGACCCAGAAUUGUUACAUCUAUUUUUGCUUUGAAAAUUACUUCUGUCUUAGCAUCACAAUAUUUCUGUUUAUUUUUCAUUACUGACAGCAUUCAGGUGAAUAAUUUCAAAGCAGUCGCCGUAGACUUGCUUAGAGUUUACCUCUAUCCGUUGCUAAUAUGUACAGAUGUGGAUCCUGAGGCAGGAUUAAUUAUUAUUGUGGUUGAGAUUAGUGGAAAGCUAGUCAAAUAGUUAAGCCCCAGAGUGUGUACUACUAAGCCACAAAGUCCAUGUAUCUGAGUGUUGCGAAUCUGGCCAACUGGCUGGUAGUUAGAAAGCCACUAAAAAGAGGGUAUACGGUGGUUUGUGGGCCGUUACUUACCUGCAUCCAUACUGUGAUUUUCCUCAUGUUUUGGUUUGCCUGUAGUGGAAUAAUAGAAUACUAAGAACAUUUACAAAUAUUUAUAUUGUUCUGUUACUUGAAUAUUUGGUUGUGUACCAAAAUUAUGGUACAUUUUCAACUGGAUAGGUGCAUAACAUUUCGCAUAGACAGAAAUACUCUGUAAGCAUUGUGCCUGCUGUUUUCUUUUUCCUAGGCACUCAUUGCUGCCAUAGCUUACAAAUGACUGGCAUCCAGCAGAUAUUGAUUUACAACUACAUGAUAUCUAGUCUUCUUUUCUUGUCCAGAGGACCAUUCUGCAAAGAAACCCUGUGAAAUGGCCUCCUUUGUUUUUUGUUUUUUUUUUUAAGUCUCUAAAGCGAUAGACUGCUCUCCUCUACCAGGAAACACCAGAAAUUCCCCCUCCUGCCCCGUCAAUCUUUUGGAGCUUUCUAAAGCCCAAAGGAGCAUUAGGUAAGAAGGUAAGAGGAUAUAUAUUUUUUUAACUUCCAAUUUAGAUGCUGCUGUUCUGUACUCUGUGCCUCCUUUAACAGGGUAAGGGAGGGUAUUCAACACCAGAGGUAAACUAAAUGCUUCCUGAAUCUGGUUUGUCAGCUUUUAUUCAGAGAAAAUACCCAUUGAAUUCACUUCCUAAUUGGAGGCUGAGGAUUGGCUCUAUUCUCAUGUUACUGACAGUAAUGUUUACUUUUAGGGUUCAGUUUACCUUUACCAAUUACUAUGUACCGAAAAUGUUUACUUUUUGGCUUUAGACUUUGUCUCUUAUCUAAAAUAUUCUAAGUUCAAAACAAAACAAGGUAUUUUCAGUGGUAAGGAGAAUAGUACAGAUGAACUAUUAUAUUAACAAACUAGUUAAAUUAAUUCCUUAUACACAAGGAGAAUAUUCCUGCCUGCUGCAUCUACAUUUUCUUCCCAAAAACAGGAUACCGGUUUGAUAGAUGUCCAUGCAUGCAAAGGUUAUAAUCUACUUUAAGCCUCAUAAAACAACAUCUGUUUUUUCUAUCCUUUAGUUUUUUAGUAGAAAGGGAAGGAAAAGUAUGUAACCUUUUCUUAGUCUCCUAGUAUGUGUAACAUAACAUCAGAAAGACUUAACUCUUGCAUGCAUUUUGGUUUUGCUAAUUUGAUAAAUGACUUAAUAACAUGCAUUGUGUAGUCUGUAGGUUUAAUUUAGCAUAACAAAAGCAAAAGAAAGAAAAACACAUCUUAGAAGGAAACCUGAACAGAGAGCUUGAGCUUCAUCCUCUCCUGUUAGGCAGUCAACUUCUUUGUUACACACAUUCUUAUUUGGAAUACAGAUAUUUGAUCGACAGUGGAAACUGUUGUUUCUGCAUUCUGUAAUAUAAAAGAAGUAAAAUGGUAAAGCACAGGACUAUAUGAUUCAGUGACCUCACGUAUUUAGAGGGCUUCUUAAAAUAUAAACUCGAUAAAAUAUCCAUGGUAUGGAUACUUUAAGGGACUUUGCUAUUUAUAAAUAGAUCCUGAAAGUAGGGUCUGUAAGUGUAAAAUGAAGUGAAUACUUGACUCUGCUCAUUUUUCUGUCUUGGUGUUUUAAAAUUUAUGAGUUUAAGAAAGAUCUUAUUUUAGUUUAAGGUAGUUCAUUGGAAAAACAACAACAACAACAACAACAUGGUUUUGUUUGAUUACUGUCAGUUUUGCCCUACUGAAAAUACAUUUAAUUCUGCCUAAUACAGUUGGGUUUUGUUUCUUUGUUUUUGUUUGUAUCAACAGCCUCCUAAGUCUCAGUAUUUUUUUUUAUUAUCAGAAGAAAUCCAGAUCCUCAGAGAUCAGUUGCUUGCUUUGGGAAAUUGCAUUAUUUAUAUUAUUACAAUUAUCUAACUGUAGAAUCAUAGAACUUUUUUGUGCUUUCCUACACAGAAACUAUAGUUUUCUUACCUUAAUACUGUGACUUUGCAAUAGAGACUUCAUUGUUACAUCACUGUAAAAAUUAAUUCUUUGGAGAUGGUUUGUUGCUGAAAUGUUUUUUAAACAGCUGAGAGAAUAAACUAUUACCUUUACAACACAGUUCAUCACUUAAGUCUCCGCAGUCAUUUAUACCGUCACAGGUUUUAGUCACAGAAAUGCACUUGUCAUUUGCACAAUGGAACUCACCAGCUGAACAUUCUGUACAGUGAGAUGAAAAUGAAGUUAGUAUAGAAAUGACUGUAGGUUCACAACUGCCCAAGGAAAUACUCAGCAUACACAUUUUAUUCAUUCGACAGAUUGGCCUCUCAAAAGUAGGCAUCUUAAAGCCUAGUUAAGUAAAUAGGGAUCUUUUUUUUUUUAUUGUUUUCAUUGCCUCCUCUUCAAACUUUCAAUGUGACUCUGUAUUUUCUUCCUCCAACUUUCAGUAACCUGGCAAAAGGGAACUUUGUUUCUUCCAGACAAGGACUAAAGUAGAAACAUUAGCUUCAGUUGAUCUCCCAGAGCAAGAACAAAAGAAGUAGGUUGUCACCUGUCUCCUCAUCAGUUAAACUAGGAGAGACAAGAGUUGUGGGAUAUAAUAUGCUUUGGGAGGGAUGGGGGAACAGCCAGAACCAAGGGUGAAAUUUGUCCACUUUUGGGUAGUAUCUGUCAAGAUAUUCUAGGAGCAACAGUGCAUUAUUUUCCAAAGCUGUAAAUUCAGGAUUGCCUCAGUUGUCUUAAAUGUUUGCAAAAGGAUUAUUUAAAAAAAGAUAAAAAUUAAAAGAUUUCAUUGAUUUCAUUAGUGGCUGAGAUUUCAGCAGAAUAGAUCCUCAAUACAUAUAUUUCAAAUAAACUUAACAUGAAGAGCUGUAAGUAGAUUUAAAGCCAAAAAAACCCUACUAACCUCGGAGAGUUUUCUGGCACUGGAGGCUAACAAAUCCCUCAUUACUAGCUCUUAAUUUCUUCUCUAUGUAACAUUCAGCAAGACUUGUCUCUAGGCCUCUGCAAGUUAUUUGGAAGCAGUGUGAUGGUUCUGUGAUGUUGUAGAUGGUGUGGUAAUAUUCAGCACCUCUGUAAAGAUAAAAAUAAUAACAACAAAUUCUCUAAUUUCACAGUGGAUUGCCCUCUCUUUUUAUUGUUUAGAAUUUAUGAUUUUCCUCAGUGUUAAAGAACUUUGGAUGUGGCUAAGGAAAUAAAAAAAAAAAAAACCAAACAACAGAUUUCCCAUGGAGUGGCGUAAGGGUAAGGAGGAAAGUAGGAGAUAUUUACUUUGGAAGAAAAGGUUCAACAAAGUGCAUCAUAGAGCUGGCACUGAAUAUGUGACAUUCUUAUCUGUUCCUGUGUAUGGUGAUAGAUAGAAACCAUCUUGCAUGAGGCUGAGUACCGGUGGUAUCAUCAAAACCAAUGCAUAUUGAGGAAGCUUAGGCCAUUGCGAGAUUGGCAUUUAUUAAACACCUGAAUGCAAUCCUCUAACAGUGUGUCUCUCUUCUCUCUUAAGAAAAUAAGGAAUGAAUAAAUAAAUAAUUGGAGAGACUUGCAGUGGGAGUCAAGGGCUGAAUGCUCUGUCCCAGAACAAACCUCUCUCUAUGCUAUCUAAAGAGGUAUGAAUCAGGACUGGGAAAUAUUUAAUUCUCAUCUACAGGGGACAGAUUUAGGCACUGUGGUAGCAUUCUUAGUUUCUGUGUAGAGUUGGAGAGGCAGUCCUAUUUGGCUCAGUUAUGCUAUUGCUUAAAAUGAUUAUGUACAGGAUAUAGAGUUGAUUCUUUAUGAUGACCUCAACAUGUAACUCAGAUCAUUGGUGUGGUCUUGGGAAAAAGAACAAGCUGUUUGUGGCCUCAGCUGUUUCUGGUGGGCAAAGCAAGCAAUGGUGGCAGGUCAGGAGAUGAAGAAAAAGAGCUGUGUUCUGGUUCUUGUUAGUCUGGCUGCUGCGAGUGGCAAAACACAGCUGUACCGUUUGGCUAGCCAGUUUAAGAAACUUUUCUCUAUAUGCAAUUCAUUGAUCAGAGCCACCUGGGGAUUGUCCAUCUAUGCACUUUCCCUUAUACAGACCUGAGAGAAAACUCAUCUAUCAGACUUCAACUUUAUUUUAAAAGUAAAAUAUUAAUCAUUUGAACAGUUGUUAUUUGUACGAAAAUGCAGAAAUCUGCUCUGGCUUUUGCUUUCAAGAAGCUUUACUGUAACCGAUAUAUUGUUCAUGAAUUUUCUCUUAAUAGUUGGCUGACUGACUGACCCUUAUAUAAGCAUCACUAUUUGUUCACAUCCAUUGCAGUCACAGAGAGAGAAAUUCCCUGAACUUACAAUUCAAAGCCAAGGUGUCUGCAGGCCACAUUUGCUUCAUUCAUUGUCCACAUACUGUCACAUACAAAAAGGUCCUCAUUAUUCACAGGUUUUACUUGGAGCAAAUGUGAAUCAUUGUAGACCAAGGAGAUUUUAAAUGUUUCUAAAAAAAAAAAAAAGAAAUUAAAAAAUUCCCUUAUAAAAUUGUAUUCUAUGGAUGUAUGUAGUGGAAAGACAGCACAGGAAGAAACCAGACCUAAAGUAUGUUGUUGGCAUCCAGAGUUCAUAUGGAAUGAACAGUAGGUUGGGGAUCAGAAGCUUAAGGUAUUACUGACAUUAUGGCUUUGAGCCUGCUGCUUUUUCAAAUAUACCAGCUUCAGAUCAAAUGAAGAUAACAGUUCCUGUCCUGGAAGCAUACUUGAAGGUCUUCUGAGGAAAGGUUGCAUCUUAGUGUAAGACUUUUGUUAGAGGACUUUCAGUAAUCAAACAAAUGAAUGACUGAUACCUUUUGAAAAAAAGAGAUAUUAAUACCUGUGGACAUGCAUUUUCCCUUGUUCAGAAACUUUGCUUCGGAACGUUGACACUCAAAGCUCUUUAGGUGGCAAUAAGUAUAAAAGUUCUUUCCAGUGGUAGAACAAACUGAAGUGCCGUUCUUUGGACACUGGUAGGGAAGCUUACAGAGGCAUUUUCCCUCCACACAUCGUUCCCAUGGGUGACAAAAAACUUUCUUACAGGACUUGUGUGUGUAUUUGUUGCUUAAACAUUCUUCUAUAAGGUAAGUGUCUCGCUCAGCUGGCUGACUGUCUUGCUCAACUGGCUGAGCAGGCUCAACGUAUGAAGACUGUUCUUCUGUAUCAUUAGAUGAUUCAUUCUGCAAGGCACAAAUUAAAAAAAAAUGCCAAAACCAAAUAGUGAACAGGACUGGAGAUGGCACCAGCAGUUCUGCAGAUCCCUUGCAUACGUCAGCAGAGUGAUUGGGAGCCUUUUCCUAUCUUGUAAAAAUGGAAGUGCUAAAUAUCAUCUAUAGUGUUUAUCCCCUUGUCUUUGAGAUAUCCACCUUUCUGUUUUUCUGGAUUUUUUUUCUUUUUUCUUUUUCAGAUCAUUCCCCUGGUGUGAUUUUCACUCUUCCUGGUCACCCACAAGCUAUACUCUUCAAAAAUCAGCUGAAGUGCACAACAGAUGAUAAACAUUUCAAGCCAGUGGUUUAUAGCACACCACAACAAUGGAACUGUGAGCAAAUUAAAAUAUAAGGGGACUUCACAGAAUCACACAGAAUGGCCUGGGUUGGAAGGGACUUCAAGGAUCAUGAAUCUCCAACCCACCCCCCUGCCCCCCCGGCACUGGCAGGGCCACCAACCUCUACAUUUAAUACUAGAGCAGGCUGCCAAGAGCCCCGUCCAGCCUAGCCUUGAACACCUCCACGGAUGGGGGAUCCACAACCUCUCUGGGCAGCCUGUUCCAGCACCUUACCACUCUCACAGUAAAGAACUUGCCCCUGACAUCCAACCUAAAUCUUCCCUCCUUCAACUUAAAACCAUUUCCCCUUGUCCUGCUAUUAUCUCCCCUUUCAAAGAAUUGACUCCCCUAACUUGGCUUAAACACCAGAAAAAUGAAAUUAAAAAAAAAAGAGUAGCAACUUGAUUUUUUUUCAAGACCUUUUUAUUGUCCCAGUUGACCCAGUUGACAUAACUAUAGCCAAUAACUACUUAGAAACAAAUAAAUCUAAAAUUGAAGAUGUGUUUCAUUGCAAGUAACAAGUAUUAAGUAUCUUCAACAAAUGUGAAAAUUAAGUGCCCUUCCCAGUCUGUUUUGUUCCCAUAUCUUGGAUGGCAGUGGGUUUGCAGUGUGGUUUCUGGUUGUUGUGGACUGCAAGGAGUGCUCCUUAUCCCUCCAUCUGACCAUCUGUCUCUAGGUGAGUGAUAACACCUAUCCUGGCAGCUCUCUGGUUAUUCCAUUGCUGGCUGAGUGCUUUUGCUCACUAAGAUGUGUGUGCAGGGGGAAUGUUGAAAUGUGAAAAAUAUGUAGCUAGACUUUGCAUAAAGAUGAGAAAGAAAUGUCAGUUGUCAGAUCGGAUUUAUCGGCUUUGAGUGCAUCCACUGAAUCAACAGAGCCAAAGUUUAAAGUUCUCGUGAAGAAAUCCUGGCCUAAGUAAAGGCAGUGGGAAUGUCGCCAGGGCUGAAUUUAUUCCGAGCCCCUCCCACCCUUUUAAGGGCUGUAUAAUCUUAAUAAAUUCUUCCUGUUCUUCUCAGGUCAGUAGAAUCCUAUGCAUUAUCUUUAGAUUUACAUACCAAACUCUGAGCCAGGCCCGGCUUGGCAUAACUCCUGUAUUGCACUAGAUGUUUCUCUUUAGCUCUGACAGAAUAGCAACAAAAGGGGCUGAUCUUUACCUACGGGUUUUUCUUGGAAAGCUCAGGCUAUGCUGAACAUGGAGCCCAUCAGGACUCCUUGAGAGGCUUUUGCCAGAAGAGAUUUUACAACAAAAGCUUUCUGAGCUGAGCCACACUUGCAGGUUGGGUUUAGCAUAGCAUCCCGAUUAAAAGAUUUUCCAAAAGGCUGUUAAUGUAAACCUCAGAUAGAACCGAUAUACAGAGGAGAAACAGCAAGAUUCACAUUUUCAAGCUGGACUAAAACAAAUGUACGAAAUGCAGAUGCUGCAAAAGGAAAUUAAAAAAGACUUUGUUUUUAUAAUAAUAAAUUGUUUUAACUGUUUGCUGUUGGUUGGUUUGUUUUUAAAAUAAGGGGAUACCACAAUAAAAUAAGUUCUUACCUGUGCUCGACAGAAAGAAAAGAGAGAGAAGCAAACCAAGAGAACUGCAACCACUCUCAUGAUGAGGUUUUAUGUCUUUGUAGAGAAAUUCCCCUGGCCGGGACUUUCCCAAUUGCCAGUCGUUAGGUUUGUGUUUAAUUUUUAACCUUUGGUAAAACACUCUGAAGUGGACUCAGAAACAACUACGGGAGCCUUAGAUAUCAACGGAUGAGUCUGCUCUCUCCACACGGAUCCCACCCCAUUUAACCUGUUUUACUGUAAAUAGAGACCAAAGGGAAGCCCUUGAAGCCAACGGUUACAAGGGAGUGCUCAGCAGGGUCUCUCGCUCCCCGCCUGCUGCCAACGCAGACCGAUGGAGCCGCGGGCCGAUCUCCUGGCAGCAGGCACCCCGCUCUGCAGGGAGCUGUUAGGGCAGGUGCGUUCUUAGGUGAGAUACGUGUGUCUGUAUGCAGGCAGGCAAACGGAACGGAUCAACUCCACUAUCUCCGUGCGAGAGCGUAACCGGCGGAGCCUUGCUCAGAGAACUGUUGGGGCAGUGGCCAAUCCACUGCAUCCCACCUGCGGGCGGUUUCCGGGAGAACCGCGGUCUCGGCCGGCACAACGGAACGGCUCCUGCGA
rnacentral:lncRNA from 1 species